AGCCGUUCCGAGGGGUGCUCCGAGGAGGAGCUGAGAUACCGCUAAAUGGGCAAGCCUGCACUUCGGCAAGCACGCCCAGGACCGCGGUGACCCUUUGAACCUGAUCCGGGUCAUGCCGGCGAAGGGACAGGGAUGUUGCAGACGA
rnacentral:ncRNA from 2 species